AAAUAAAAGCUAAGGAUUGAAGCCUUUGCUCCUACUACUUUACAAACUUUUUGGGUGUGUAAAUGGUUCAUGUGAUUCUAAAAGGUUUUUGAGUUGAAUAUGAGUUUCAAGUGCAAGCUUAGAGGUUGAGUAGUGUGCUAGGGGAAACGUGGUGCUUGGCAAUUGCAUUAGCUCCAAGACAUGUUUCUAGGUCUGGUUGGUAUCAAGUCAAUUUUAUUUUUACAUAU